UACAGAGGGGGCGAGGCGUUGUUCGGAAUUACUGGGCGUAAAGGGCGCGUAGGCGGCCUCUUAAGUCGAACGUGAAAAUCCCCGGGCUCAACCCGGGAACUGCGUCCGAUACUGGGAGGCUUGAAUCCGGGAGAGGGAUGUGGAAUUCCAGGUGUAGCGGUGAAAUGCGUAGAUAUCUGGAGGAACACCGGUGGCGAAGGCGGCAUCC
rnacentral:rRNA from 1 species